rnacentral:rRNA from 1 species
GGACUACCCGGGUUUCUAAUCCUGUUUGCUCCCCACGCUCUCGCGCCUCAGCGUCAGUAUCUGUCCAGGUAGCCGCCUUCGCCACUGGUGUUCCUUCCGAUCUCUACGCAUUUCACCGCUACACCGGAAAUUCCACUACCCUCUACAGUACUCCAGUCUUACAGUUUUGGUUGCAGUUCCCAGGUUAAGCCCGGGGAUUUCACAACCAACUUAUAAGACCGCCUACGCGCCCUUUACGCCCAGUAACUCCGAUUAACGCUUGCACCCUCUGUAUUACCGCGGCUGCUGGCAC